UACGUAGGGGGCUAGCGUUGUCCGGAUUUAUUGGGCGUAAAGAGCGCGCAGGCGGUCGUUCAAGUCGCGUGUGAAAGCCCCCGGCUCAACUGGGGAGGGUCACGCGAUACUGAUCGACUCGAAGGCAGGAGAGGGUAGUGGAAUUCCCGGUGUAGUGGUGAAAUGCGUAGAUAUCGGGAGGAACACCAGUGGCGAAGGCGACUACCUGGCCUGUUCUUGACGCUGAGGCGCGAAAGCUAGGGGAGCAAACGGG
rnacentral:rRNA from 1 species